AUGGCGCCGUCAAUCUUGUGGCCGCCGCCGAUGGCCAAGGGUUUCCCUUGGUCCCGCUCCACACCCCGACCACGAGGCCAUAGACUAACCAUAGGGGCGCAAGCCAACGGAGAGGGACGGAGGUCUUCGUCAAAAGCAGGAGCGUCGGCCAACGGGGCGCCCCGCCAUCGCAGUACACGUCCGCCACAACCUCACCGCCCGCACGGUCGAAGUCGCGGACUAGCACCCACGCCGCCGCUUGCCGCAGAGCCGACGACAUUCGCCAAGCCCGGGGCCGCCGCCCCGGCAUCCACCAACCAGGCGCAUCACAUCCACCACCAGCCAACAACCCCGCCACGCCACCAGGUUCACCUCCAAAGCCACCGAACACACCCCGCGAAACAUAAGAGCGUCUGCGGCGAUCCCAUCGACCAGAUCCGGCCGGAAUCAAGGGCCAGCAGCCGCCCGAGCACCGGAUCCGGCGACUAG
rnacentral:rRNA from 1 species